UACGUAGGGUGCAAGCGUUGUCCGGAAUUAUUGGGCGUAAAGAGCUCGUAGGCGGUUCGUCGCGUCGGCUGUGAAAUCCCGAGGCUCAACCUCGGGUCUGCAGUCGAUACGGGCGGACUGGAGUACUGCAGGGGAGACUGGAAUUCCCGGUGUAGCGGUGAAAUGCGCAGAUAUCAGGAGGAACACCGGUGGCAAAGGCGGGUCUCUGGGCAGUUCCUGACACUGAGGCACGAAGGCCAGGGGAGCAAACGGG
rnacentral:rRNA from 1 species